CUACGGGUCGCACCAGUGGGGAAUAUUGGACAAUGGGGGAAACCCUGAUCCAGCAAUGCCGCGUGUGUGAAGAAGGCCUGCGGGUUGUAAAGCACUUUCGGUUGGGAGGACUGCUUCUAGCACUAAUAUUGUUGGAAGUUGACGUUACCUUCAGAAGAAGCACCGGCUAACUCCGUGCCAGCAGCCGCAGUAAUACGGAGGGUGCAAGCGUUAAUCGGAAUUACGGGGCGUAAAGCGCGCGUAGGCGGCUAGAUCAGUCGGGUGUGAAAGCCCCGGGCUUAACCUGGGAACUGCAUCCGAUACUGUCUAGCUUGAGUACAGGAGAGGAGAGUGGAAUUCCACAUGUAGCGGUGAAAUGCGUAGAUAUGUGGAGGAACACCAAUGGCGAAGGCAGCUCUCUGGCCUGAUACUGACGCUGAGGUGCGAAAGCGUGGGGAGCAAACAGGAUUAGAUACCCUUGUAGUC
rnacentral:rRNA from 1 species